GCUUGGAACAUAACGUUACGUACGUCGUCACGUAAUUAAAAUCAUAGUUGUAAUUAGAACCCAAUCAAACGACGACGAUCAAAAUAUGCGUUUCGAAACGUCUCUAUUGUUCCUUUGGUCGUCAUUGGAAAUGGUAACGUUUUCGUGGAAUUCACGAGUGCUAGUAAGUCGUUGUGUGCAGCACCGCCGACGUCCUUUCACAUCGUGUGGGGUGGUUUAAAAAUUGUCGGGUCGUUUUUUUUCUCUUUCCUUAGGACCGUUUGGCAGUGCAUAGACGCAGCAGAGUGGCUGUUCGGUUCGAUAAAUUCGAAUGGGCCAUAAACAACGAGUAUGGACGCGUGAACCAAGUUUACGUCAGUCAAUCAAACGGAUCCGAUCUCGGCAACGUGGCAAUGACAUUCGAUUUCGAAUUCGUCCUACAGCAAUUGACUGUAGAAAUAUUCAAGUGUAAAGAACAUUACAUAGAUUGUGUGAAUUACAGAAGUUUUGGAUUCACGCGGUUUUGUGGACACGAAAAUGCCAUACUACUUUUCGUCAAGUUGGGAUACGUCGACCGCGAGUUGUCGUGCACAAUCAAACAGGGACUCUACACGGUGAAGAAUGUAACGUUAAACGUGGACAACGUGGUCGGACCGUUUGCGCUUUCCCUCGAAAAGUGGUGGGAGCAAACGUGGAUAUGGAACUGUACGUUUUUCGCCGGCAACGACGCGUUCAUCAUGCGGUCCAACGGACAACUCCGAUUUCUGAUGCUGAAGAGGAGUAGGAGUA